rnacentral:rRNA from 1 species
GUUGCUUGCCAACAACCCCANUUUUCUAUGGUUGACCUCGGAUCAGGUAGGGAUACCGCUGAACUUAAGCAUAUCAAUAAGCGGAGGAAAAGAAACCAACAGGGAUUGCCUCAGUAACGGCGAGUGAAGCGGCAACAGCUCAAAUUUGAAAUCUGGCCCUUUUAGGGUCCGAGUUGUAAUUUGUAGAAGAUGCUUCGGGUGAGGCUCCGGUCUAAGUUCUUUGGAACAUGACAUCACAGAGGGUGAGAAUCCCGUACGUGACUGGGUGCCUUCGCUCAUGUGAAGCUCUUUCGACGAGUCGAGUUGUUUGGGAAUGCAGCUCAAAAUGGGUGGUAAAUUUCAUCUAAAGCUAAAUAUUGGCCAGAGACCGAUAGCGCACAAGUAGAGUGAUCGAAAGAUGAAAAGCACUUUGGAAAGAGAGUUAAACAGUACGUGAAAUUGUUGAAAGGGAAGCGCUUGCAACCAGACUUGCACGCAGUUGAUCAUCCGGUGUUCUCACUGGUGCACUCGGCUGUGUUCAGGCCAGCAUCGGUUUUGGUGGUUGGAUAAAGGCCUUGGGAAUGUAGCUUCUUUCGGGGAGUGUUAUAGCCCUCGGUGCAAUGCAGCCUACCGGGACCGAGGACCGCGCUUCGGCUAGGAUGCUGGCGUAAUGGUUGUAAGCGACC